rnacentral:rRNA from 1 species
UGGGGAAUAUUGCACAAUGGGCGCAAGCCUGAUGCAGCCAUGCCGCGUGUAUGAAGAAGGCCUUCGGGUUGUAAAGUACUUUCAGCGGGGAGGAAGGUGUUGUGGUUAAUAACCUCAGCAAUUGACGUUACCCGCAGAAGAAGCACCGGCUAACUCCGUGCCAGCAGCCGCGGUAAUACGGAGGGUGCAAGCGUUAAUCGGAAUUACUGGGCGUAAAGCGCACGCAGGCGGUCAGUCAAGUCGGAUGUGAAAUCCCCGGGCUCAACCUGGGAACUGCAUCCGAAACUGGCAGGCUUGAGUCUUGUAGAGGGGGGUAGAAUUCCAGGUGUAGCGGUGAAAUGCGUAGAGAUCUGGAGGAAUACCGGUGGCGAAGGCGGCCCCCUGGACAAAGACUGACGCUCAGGUGCGAAAGCGUGGGGAGCAAACA